rnacentral:rRNA from 1 species
AUUGAACGCUGGCGGCAUGCCUUACACAUGCAAGUCGAACGGCAGCGGACCUUCGGGUGCCGGCGAGUGGCGAACGGGUGAGUAAUAUAUCGGAACGUACCUUUCAGUGGGGGAUAACGUAGCGAAAGUUACGCUAAUACCGCAUAUUCUGUGAGCAGGAAAGCAGGGGAUCGCAAGACCUUGCGCUGAUUGAGCGGCCGAUAUCAGAUUAGCUAGUUGGUGAGGUAAAGGCUCACCAAGGCGACGAUCUGUAGCGGGUCUGAGGGGAUGAUCCGCCACACUGGAACUGAGACACGGUCCAGACUCCUACGGGAGGCAGCAGUGGGGAAUUUUGGACAAUGGGCGCAAGCCUGAUCCAGCCAUGCCGCGUGAGUGAAGAAGGCCUCGGUUGUAAGU